rnacentral:sRNA from 1 species
GCCGGGCGCAGGGGCUCGCGCCUGUAAUCCCAGCACUUUGGGAGGCCGAGGUGGGUGGAUUGCUUGAGGCCAGGAGUUUGAGAGCAGCCUGGCCAACAUGGCAAAACCCCAUCUCUA